AUGGGCAUAAGUCACCAAAUUUCUACUGCAUAUCAUCCUGAGUCCCAAGGGGCACUCGAAAGAUUUCAUCAAACCCUGAAAAACCUGCUGCGUAAUUAUUGUGUGGAAACUGGGAGAGAUUGGGUUGAGGGUCUUCCUUUUCUGAUAUUUGCAAUAAGAGAGUCAGUGCAAGAAUCUCUUGGCUUUAGCCCCUCAGAACUUGUGUUUGGCCAUACAGUUUGUGGGCCUCUGAAGUUGUUAAGCGAACAAUUGUUGGAUCAAAGUUCUAAACCCAUUCCGGUAGACGAUUAUGUCACUUCGAUCCGUGAGAGGUUGCAUAAAGCCCAAAGUCUUGCCAAACUUCAUCUUUCCGCUGCCCAAGCUAAGAUAAAGGCGCGUUUUGACAAAAGAGCUGUGAAAAGAGACUUUCGCCCUGGUGAUUCCGUGUUGGUUCAACUUCCAACCCCUGGUUCCAUUUCCCAUGCAAAAUUCUCUGGUCCGUACCUGGUUGAAAGGAAGUUAAAUGAGACAAACUUUCUUGUAGCUACUCCUGAUAGGAAAUGCAAGAGCCAUGUGUGUCAUGUAAACCGGCUUAAAACUUAUGUAGACAGAACUCACUUUGGACUGACUGCAGAUCAGACUGAGUGUUCACCGCUGACUGCCGCUAUUGCCACUGUGGGUGUAGUGGCAAAUUACUCCUUGGAGGAGGAUGGCUUAAUGAGCUAUGACGUUCCGGUUUCCUCUACUCGUCUGAAGAAUUCUUCUAUUAUGCAAAAUCUUUCACAUUUCCUUUGCCAUCUGUCUGGUGAACAGUCUGAAGAUUUAAUCAAAUUACUGUAUGCUUUUCCCACCCUAUUUAGUGAUGUGCCAGGCAGAACAACCGUGUGUGUGCACGACAUUGAUGUUGGUGAUGUAGCACCUAUAAAACAACAUCCUUACAGGGUAAAUCCACAGAAACGGGCGAUCAUGCAGACAAAAGUUGAGUAUAUGCUGCAUCAUGGAAUUACUACGCCCAGCCAUAGUCCUUGGAGUUCCCCCUGCUUGCUUGUUCCAAAGCCUGAUAAUAGCUUUCGGUUUUGCACUGAUUAUCGGAAGAUCAGCAGAGUAACUCCAAUCCUAUUAUUGUGUACACUGACCAUAACCCUUUGGUGUUCCUUUCCCGGAUGUCAGGUUCCAACCAGCGAUUCCUACGGUGGUCUCUCGUUGUCCAAGGAUAUAAUCUGGACAUUAAUCAUAAGAGGGGUGCCAAAAAUGUUAUGGCUGAUGCUCUCUCCAGAGUAUGAAAUUGUUCCCUCACUGACACUUUCCUCUUUACAAGUGUAA
ensembl:lncRNA